rnacentral:rRNA from 1 species
GAUGAACGCUGGCGGCGUGCUUAACACAUGCAAGUCGAACGAUGAAAGCGGGAGCUUGCUCCUGCUGGAUUAGUGGCGAACGGGUGAGUAACACGUGAGUAACCUGCCCUUGACUCUGGGAUAAGCGUUGGAAACGACGUCUAAUACCGGAUACGACCUUCGGAGGCAUCUCCUGGGGGUGGGAAGAAUUUCGGUCAAGGAUGGACUCGCGGCCUAUCAGCUAGUUGGUGAGGUAAUGGCUCACCAAGGCGACGACGGGUAGCCGGCCUGAGAGGGUGACCGGCCACACUGGGACUGAGACACGGCCCAGACUCCUACGGGAGGCAGCAGUGGGGAAUAUUGCACAAUGGGCGCAAGCCUGAUGCAGCAACGCCGCGUGAGGGACGACGGCCUUCGGGUUGUAAACCUCUUUUAGUAGGGAAGAAGCGAAAGUGACGGUACCUGCAGAAAAAGCACCGGCUAACUACGUGCCAGCCGCCGCCGUAAGAC